rnacentral:rRNA from 1 species
UCUACGGGAGGCAGCAGUAGGGAAUCUUCCACAAUGGGCGAAAGCCUGAUGGAGCAACGCCGCGUGUGUGACGAAGGGUUUCGGCUCGUAAAACACUGUUGUAAGAGAAGAAUGACAUUGAGAGUAACUGUUCAAUGUGUGACGGUAUCUUACCAGAAAGGAACGGCUAAAUACGUGCCAGCAGCCGCGGUAAUA